UUAAUGGAAUUGUUUCAUUUCUACAUUUAUCUCAAAAAGUGUCCUUAUCUUCAGCAAAGACUGGCUGAGAUAUGUCAUCAAAACCUAAUUCCUUUUCCUCCUAGACAUGCAAGUAAACUAAAUUCCCCAGCCUCCCUUGCAGUUAUAAGUGGCCAUGUGAUGAGAUGUUUAACCAAUGCAAGGUUAGCAGAAGCAAUAUGUACCAUUAAUAGACCCCACUGAUAAACCUUCUCAUGGUCACCUCCCUCUUCUCUCCCCAGGUAUCAGGUGAAUAGAGAAGAUAUAGAAGAGGUCCUUGGUUUCCGAAUUGCCACUGGAUUGCCUCUAUCAAAUAUCCAAGAGUUUCAUGAGUGGGAAAUAACCUUCUGUUGCUUUAAAUCUUGGGUUGUGCAAUGCAUCAGUGAGCCUACCAUGACUAAUACAUCCUAUGAAUGUAGAUUUCUCUUCUCUAGCCACUGACAUGAGUGUGCAUUCUGGAUGCAGUCACAGGGGACUCAAGAUUCUUGGACAGAAUUCUCGCCGGGAGCCAACUCAGCCUGAUCUGCUGGCAUCUCUCAAGUAUCCGAAGUCAACAAAAUGGUUUGCCUUGAAGACUUGGCCAGAGCAGCAGCCAAAGUUCAUCAGGCUUUCAUAGAGAGAUUGUUGUUCUAAGAAAACAAAAUUCUAAGGGUUCCCAUUGUGCAACUGGGGUGGCAAAAUGCAAACUAGUAUAAGGAAAAAAAAUGCUUUUCAUUUCCAUGGAA